UCGAACCGGCGACCUUUUGAUCUACCAGCCCAGCAGCACAGUGGUUUAAACCACUGCGCCACCUGCAGUCCCUAGUUAGCUCAAAGCAAAUUUGGUGUGAUGGCUGAUUUGAUCCUUCCUCUUAGCCUGUUUUGCUGGUAAAGCAGGCUCAUGGGAGGAUUCUUACAGAGUCUUACCCCUUGCAUAUAGUCUGCCACUGAACUAGGGACUCUCCCUUUUCAGAACACUGGAAUUUCAGAUUAAUUGCAUUAACAGCCCAUGUGGAUUCCCUGGCAACAUCCAAACAAGAGGAGCUUACCUGCUUGAGGAUAAUCAUGGAGACACAUUUCCUUUGGGGUUAGAAGGUAACUGGUAUCCCAUAUCCUUGGGCAAAUGGUGCGGCAGAUGGAACCUGUUGUCUUGUUUUAAAAUGGCUGCCCCUUCUUCGAAAGGGUGCUUAAAAACACUCCCCUUCCACAUGUCUGAAGACAAUAAGGAUGACGCAGCCUUCAAAUAAAACCUGAAUGAAAGCUGA